GAUGAACGCUGGCGGCGUGCCUAAUACAUGCAAGUCGAGCGAACAGACGAGGAGCUUGCUCCUCUGACGUUAGCGGCGGACGGGUGAGUAACACGUGGAUAACCUACCUAUAAGACUGGGAUCACUUCGGGAAACCGGCGCUAAUACCGGAUAAUAUAUUGAACCGCAUGGUUCAAUAGUGAAAGACGGUUUUGCUGUCACUUAUAGAUGGAUCCGCGCCGCAUUAGCUAGUUGGUAAGGUAACGGCUUACCAAGGCAACGAUGCGUAGCCGACCUGAGAGGGUGAUCGGCCACACUGGAACUGAGACACGGUCCAGACUCCUACGGGAGGCAGCAGUAGGGAUUCUUCCGCAAUGGGCGAAAGCCUGACGGAGCAACGCCGCGUGAGGGAUGAAGGUCGUCGGAUCGUAAAACUCUGUUAUUAGGGAAGAACAAAUGUGUAAGUAACUAUACACGUCUGGACGGUACCUGAUCAGAGAGCCACGGCUAACUACGUG
rnacentral:rRNA from 1 species